ACUCGCGCAUGCACACACACACUGCUGGUGCUGGAAAUAAUCUGAGGAGGAGCGAACAGGAGAAAUGUGGGGGCAGAUGAGCUUGGAGUGGGGGGGAGGCAGAGAGAGACUGCAGACCCUCCAGUAACAAGAAACUCUGAGAUGGCAGAGACGAAGCACAGCAUGGAGAGAACGUUAAGAGAGUCUGCAGGAGGAAACCCGCGCGAUACGGAGAGACCAUGCAAAUGCCAUGGAAGCGAGAAACAAGUGCGCUAUGAACUAAGCUACCGUUACGCCUGUGAUAUUUAUUAUGCAGUAAAUGAUAAGCUAAACGUCGAUGUAAUAAAGUGACCAGUUUUUCUGCACAAGCAGCCUCCAACACUGAAACGGAGUCCGUUUUUAUGUUCUCAUUUGUAGUGAUUCCGCCUCCAAAGGCGGUGCGUAAAGUAACAGGCGAAAUGGAGUCAUGUGUUUGUGGUUGCACUGAAUCAAGAAAUAGACGACUUCAAGUCAGGACUUAGACCGAGCCAUAUCAGUGAAUCUCAUCCCUGAGACUCAGUCAUUGUGAGGAAACCUCAGAUGUUCCCAGUCCAGCUGGGAGAUUUAAUCCCUG